rnacentral:misc_RNA from 1 species
GGAAAAUUGACGAUUCGUAUUUCAUGGGUUUUGAAAACGCAGCUUUUCCUAAAACAAGGAAAAGGGAGCGACGAAGGGUCUUCUGUUCUCUUUUCUCUCUCAUAAAUCCUCACUUUCUCUCUCAUAAAUCCUCACUGCUCAAUUGUUGACCACUACCAACAUCCGCUUUCAUUAACUGCUAAUUAAUCCAUAUCUUAAUCAUAUCUCCGAAACCAAAUACUCUACAACUUAAAAACCUCUCUCUCUCUCUCUCUCU